ACUGCCCCUCUGCACACAGAAGCCAGCUCUUUCUUCUGGAGAAUCACAUCUCUCUGAUGCUGAUCUUACGGUUUGGAUGGAGACUGCACUCUGUGGGGACUCAGGUCCAACCAAGGAGAAGUCCACAUCCCUCUGGCCACAAUAAUUAAUUCUGGGGUGGGCCUUUGACCAAUGCCAGAUCAAACAGAGACAAUCCGGAGGAUCUUACUCAAAUUCUUGGGAGAGGAAUCAUUUCUUUCUGCUGGGACUGCUACACUGGGACUGCUGUACUAAGAGCUGCUGGAGGUCAUCUAUCCUGCCAGAGAUCAAAGCCAAUACAAAGGAAAACAGAACCAGGAGAUGAGUAAUGCCUCCUGAUGAUACCACACACGUGUCUGGAUCCAACUAUACCUGAAACCAGAACCUCUUGGAUGCUUGUUAAAUGAACAAAUAUUCUCAAAUUUUUUUGCUCUGAGCUUUUAUUUUAAAUAAAUAAAAGUCUGAUAAAUAAUAAAUAAAAUAAACAGAUUUUAAUAAAUAAAAGCUGA
rnacentral:lncRNA from 1 species